CCCCAAUUUGAAUCUGGGCUCUUUCAGAGUCCGAAGUUGUAAUUUUGAGAACUGUUUUCUGUGCUGGACCAUCUCCAAGUCUGUUGAAAAGCAGCAUCAUUGAGGGUGAUAAUCCCGUUUAUGAUAUGGACUACCAGGGUCAAUAUGAUGCAGCUUCUAAGAGUCGAGUUGUUUGGGAAUGCAGCUCAAAGUGGGUGGUAAAUUCCAUCUAAGGCUAAAUAUAGGUGAGAGACCGAUAGCAAACAAGUACCGUGAGGGAAAGAUGAAAAGAACUUUGGAAAGAGAGUUAAAAGUACGUGAAAUUGUUGUAAGAGAAACAUUUGAAGUUAGCCUUGGACUUGUCAGCUCAGCUCUUUAAGAGUGUAUUCUGGUGAUGUUCAGACCAGCAUCAGUUCUUGGGUGCCAGAUAAGGGUUGUGGAAAUGUGGCAGCUUUGGCUGUGUUAUAGUCUGCAAUUUUGAUGUGGUGCUCAGGACUGAGGAAUGCAGCAAGCCAUCUUUUUGGCGGGCCUUCUUGGAGGUUUUCUUGCUGAGGAUGCUGGUGUAAUAGCUUUAAAUGACCCGUCUUGAAACACGGAACCAAA
rnacentral:rRNA from 1 species